rnacentral:misc_RNA from 1 species
AAGUCGUAACAAGGUCUCCGUUGGUGAACCAGCGGAGGGAUCAUUAAAAUAGGUCCAAAGACACCUAAAACCUACCGUGCUCCCAUCGUGGAAACCAGAAAACAGGAAGCCCUCGCUGGCACAGGUUAUCUGAGAACAGAACUGCGCCCCCGGCGCAAGAACUGAAAAAAUUACAACCCAUAACAAUGGAUCUCUUGGCUCUG